AUUGAACGCUGGCGGCAUGCCUUACACAUGCAAGUCGAACGGCAGCACGGGAGCAAUCCUGGUGGCGAGUGGCGAACGGGUGAGUAAUACAUCGGAACGUGCCCAGUUGUGGGGGAUAGCCCGGCGAAAGCCGGAUUAAUACCGCAUACGACCUAUGGGUGAAAGCGGGGGAUCGCAAGACCUCGCGCAAUUGGAGCGGCCGAUGUCAGAUUAGGUAGUUGGUGGGGUAAAAGCCUACCAAGCCGACGAUCUGUAGCUGGUCUGAGAGGACGACCAGCCACACUGGGACUGAGACACGGCCCAGACUCCUACGGGAGGCAGCAGUGGGGAAUUUUGGACAAUGGGCGCAAGCCUGAUCCAGCCAUGCCGCGUGUGGGAAGAAGGCCUCGGGUUGUAAACCACUUUUGUCAGGGAAGAAACGGCCUAGGCUAACAUCUUGGGCUAAUGACGGUACCUGAAGAAUAAGCACCGGCUAACUACGUGCCCGCAGCCGCGGUAAUNCGUAGGGUGCAAGCGUUAAUCGGAACUACUGGGCGUAAAGCGUGCGCAGGCGGCUUUGNAAAGACAGAUGUGAAAUCCCCGGGGCUCAACCUGGGAACUGCAUUUGUGACUGCAAGGCUAGAGUACGGCAGAGGGGGAUGGAAUUCCGCGUGUAGCAGUGAAAUGCGUAGAUAUGCGGAGGAACACCGAUGGCGAAGGCAAUCCCCUGGGCCUGUACUGACGCUCAUGCACG
rnacentral:rRNA from 1 species